rnacentral:rRNA from 1 species
AACAUAGCUCAUAAAUUAAUUUUGAGUGUGACCUGCCCAGUGAAAUUUAAUAAAAUUAUAAAUAAUUUGUGAAAAUAUUAAACGGACGCGGUAACUCUGACCGUGAUAAUGUAGCAUAAUCAUUUGCUUCUUAAUUAGAGGAUAGUAUGAAUGGUUAAACGAAUAUUCCACUUUUUUAGUAAAAAAUUUUUAAAAUUGAAAUAAUAGUUAAGAUGCUAUUUAAAAUUGUAAGACGAAAAGACCCUGUAGAGCUUUACUAUAUUCUUUUUUUUUAUAGGGAAUGUUAGUUUAAUUGGGGCGAUUAUUUUUUAAAAAAACCGAAAAUAAGUAAAAUUAAUAUUUAAUUUAUUGUAUAAUUAAUAAAUUUAACAGUUAUAAAAGUAGGCUAUAAUGACCCAUUAAUAUUAUAAAUUAAAUUAAUGAUCAAUAAAUAAAAGUUACCUCAGGGAUAACAGGAUAAUUUUGUAUUAGAGUUCUUAUCGUAUACAAAGUUUGUCACCUCUAUGUUGAAUUAAGAUAUCCUAAUGGUGUAAAAGUUAUUAAGGGUAGGUCUGUUCGACCUUUAAAAUCUUACAUGAUUUGAGUUCAUUCCGCCGUAAGGCAGGAAGGUUUCUAUCUACAAUUAAAUAAUAUCAUUUAGAUUUAAAGUACGAAAGGAACUAGAUUUCUAAAAAUUAAUUUUUUGAUCUUUAUACAUUAAGAUUGAUUGAUUCUAAAUUUGACAAAUGAUUAUUUAAUUUUU